rnacentral:rRNA from 1 species
GAGUAAUGCGUGACCAACCUGCCCCAUGCUCCAGAAUAGCUCUUGGGAACGGGUGGUAAUGCUGGAUGCUCCAACUUGACGCAUGUCUUGUUGGGAAAGUGUUUAGUGGCAUGGGAUGGGGUCGCGUCCUAUCAGCUUGUAGGCGGGGUAAUGGCCCACCUAGGCUUCGACGGGUAGCCGGCCUGAGAGGGCGGACGGCCACAUUGGGACUGAGAUACGGCCCAGACUCCUACGGGAGGCAGCAGGU